rnacentral:rRNA from 1 species
UACGGGGGGGGCAAGCGUUGUUCGGAAUUACUGGGCGUAAAGGGUUCGUAGGUGGCCUGCUAAGUCAAACGUGAAAUCCCUCGGCUCAACCGGGGAACUGCGUCUGAGACUGGCGGGCUUGAGUACAGGAGAGGAACGCGGAAUUCCAGGUGUAGCGGUGAAAUGCGCAGAUAUCAGGAGGAACACCAAUGGCGAAGGCAGCUCGCUGGAACGGUACUGACGCUGAGGCGCGAAAGCGUGGGGAGCAAACAGG